rnacentral:rRNA from 1 species
AGAGGUCCCGCCUGCCCUGUGACUACACGUUUAACGGCCGCGGUAUUUUGACCGUGCAAAGGUAGCGCAAUCACUUGUCUUUUAAAUGGAGACCUGUAUGAAUGGCAUUACGAGGGCUUGACUGUCUCCCUUUUCAAGUCAAUGAAAUUGAUCUCCCCGUGCAGAAGCGGGGAUUCUUCCACAAGACGAGAAGACCCUAUGAAGCUUUAGACACUAAGGUAGUCUACGCCAACCAACCUCCCCCAAGAGACCGAGCCUAAUAGCAUUCUACCCGACUGUCUUUGGUUGGGGCGACCACGGGGGAGAACCAAGCCCCCACGCAGAACGGGGCAAUUCCUGUCCUAAAGCCCAGAGCCCCCGCUCCAAGCAACAAAAUCUCUUUGACUUUCCAGAUCCGGCAUGGCCGAUCUACGGACCGAGUUACUCUAGGGAUAACAGCGCAAUCUCCUUUCAGAGCCCCUAUCGACAAGGAGGUUUACGACCUCGAUGUUGGAUCAGGACAUCCUAAUGGUGCAGCCGCUAU